AGCGAACGCUGGCGGCAGGCCUAACACAUGCCAGUCGAACGAACCUUUCGGGGUUAGUGGCGGACGGGUGAGUAACACGUGGGAACGUGCCUUUAGGUUCGGAAUAACUCAGGGAAACUUGUGCUAAUACCGAAUGUGCCCUUCGGGGGAAAGAUUUAUCGCCUUUAGAGCGGCCCGCGUCUGAUUAGCUAGUUGGUUGAGGUAAUGGCUUACCAAGGCGACGAUCAGUAGCUGGUCUGAGAGGAUGAUCAGCCACAUUGGGACUGAGACACGGCCCAAACUCCUACGGGAGGCAGCAGUGGGGAAUCUUGCGCAAUGGGCGAAAGCCUGACGCAGCCAUGCCGCGUGAAUGAUGAAGGUCUUAGGAUUGUAAAAUUCUUUCACCGGGGACGAUAAUGACGGUACCCGGAGAAGAAGCCCCGGCUAACUUCGUG
rnacentral:rRNA from 1 species